rnacentral:rRNA from 1 species
UACGUAGGUGGCAAGCGUUGUCCGGAUUUAUUGGGUUUAAAGGGUGCGUAGGCGGCCUAUUAAGUCAGUUCUGAAAUAUCCCGGCUUAACCGGGUGGGUGGGAUUGAUACUGAUGGGCUUGAGUGGAGUCGAGGUAGGCGGAAUUGACGGUGUAGCGGUGAAAUGCUUAGAUAUCGUCAAGAACACCGAUAGUGUAGACAGCUUACUAGACUUCAACUGACGCUGAGGCACGAAAGUGUGGGGAUCAAACAGG